rnacentral:tRNA from 1 species
UGGCUCAGAGGUUAAAGCGUCUGCCUGGAAUGCAGAAGACCCAGGUUCGAUCCCUGG